rnacentral:rRNA from 1 species
AUUGAACGCUGGCGGCAUGCCUUACACAUGCAAGUCGAACGGUAACAGGUCUUCGGAUGCUGACGAGUGGCGAACGGGUGAGUAAUACAUCGGAACGUGCCUAGUAGUGGGGGAUAACUACUCGAAAGAGUGGCUAAUACCGCAUGAGAUCUACGGAUGAAAGCAGGGGAUCGCAAGACCUUGUGCUACUAGAGCGGCCGAUGGCAGAUUAGGUAGUUGGUGGGAUAAAAGCUUACCAAGCCGACGAUCUGUAGCUGGUCUGAGAGGACGAUCAGCUACACUGGGACUGAGAAACGACCCAGAUGCCUACGGGAGGCAGCAGUGGGGAAUUUUGGACAAUGGGCGCAAGCCUGAUCCAGCAAUGCCACGUGCAGGAUGAAGGACUUCGGGUUGUAAACUGCUUUUGUACGGAACGAAAAGCCCUGGGUUAAUACCCUGGGGUCAUGACGGUACCGUAAGAAUAAACACCGGCUAACUACGUGCCAGCCGCCGCGGUAA